rnacentral:rRNA from 1 species
CGUAAUCCGGGUUGCGGACAGUGUCUGGUGGGUAGUUUGACUGGGGCGGUCUCCUCCUAAAGAGUAACGGAGGAGCACGAAGGUUGGCUAAUCCUGGUCGGACAUCAGGAGGUUAGUGCAAUGGCAUAAGCCAGCUUGACUGCGAGCGUGACGGCGCGAGCAGGUGCGAAAGCAGGUCAUAGUGAUCCGGUGGUUCUGAAUGGAAGGGCCAUCGCUCAACGGAUAAAAGGUACUCCGGGGAUAACAGGCUGAUACCGCCCAAGAGUUCAUAUCGACGGCGGUGUUUGGCACCUCGAUGUCGGCUCAUCACAUCCUGGGGCUGAAGUAGGUCCCAAGGGUAUGGCUGUUCGCCAUUUAAAGUGGUACGCGAGCUGGGUUUAGAACGUCGUGAGACAGUUCGGUCCCUAUCUGCCGUGGGCGCUGGAGAACUGAGGGGGGCUGCUCCUAGUACGAGAGGACCGGAGUGGACGCAUCACUGGUGUUCGGGUUGUCAUGCCAAUGGCACUGCCCGGUAGCUAAAUGCGGAAGAGAUAAGUGCUGAAAGCAUCUAAGCACGAAACUUGCCCCGAG